AUGAAGCGAGGGAUUAGACACUGUCGGGAGUGUGGACACAUUGGUCAUGAUAGAAGACAAUGCCCAAGAAAUUUGAACACACCGACAUCACCGUCGAACAAUGACGAAUCAACUCCAAUAGAUCUUAGUGACCCAUUAUUUGACGAAUUUUACAGGAUGCACGGACCAACUCAAUGAUUUAGGUUUCUAUUAUACGAAGCCCGGUUAUUAUGAAGACUAAUGAUCAGGCUAAUGCAGCAUUUCCAGCAG